AGCUUUGCGCAGUGGCAGUAUCGUAGCCAAUGAGGUUUAUCCAAGGCGCGAUUAUUGCGAAUUGAAAUGAGUCAAGCAGAGAGAGUCAGUUAUCAUAUGGUUUCACUUAUUUGUGGAGCAUAACAAA
rnacentral:snRNA from 1 species